rnacentral:rRNA from 1 species
CCCUUAGAUGUUCUGGGCCGCACGCGCGUUACACUGAUGCAUUCAACGAGUGUACCUUGGCCGAGAGGCCUGGGCAAUCUUUUGAACGUGCAUCGUGAUAGGGAUAGAUUAUUGCAAUUAUUAAUCUUGAACGAGGAAUUCCUAGUAAACGCAGAUCAUCAAUCUGCAUUGAUUACGUCCCUGCCCUUUGUACACACCGCCCGUCGCACCUACCGAUUGGAUGGUCCGGUGAAGCCUCGGGAUUGUGGCGGUUGCCUUUAUUGGUGGCCGCCGCGAGAACUUGUCUAAACCUUAUCAUCUAGAGGAAGGUGAAGUCGUAACA